GCUCAACGGGAAGAAAAAACGGCUUCUGCCGAUUUUUUCAAUUUUAAAAUUUGUUUUUUCAAUUUUGCUAUUUUUUUUUCUUGAAAAGGGGCGCGUGUUGCCACCACCCCUCCUUUGCACUCGGUGCGGCCGCUUGCUCCACCUCCAUUGCACCCGGGUGCGGCAACGGUGGCGGGUGCGAUAGGCCGGGUUCGAUCCCGCCAUUGCAC
rnacentral:lncRNA from 1 species